rnacentral:rRNA from 1 species
UGGGGAAUAUUGCACAAUGGGCGCAAGCCUGAUGCAGCCAUGCCGCGUGUAUGAAGAAGGCCUUCGGGUUGUAAAGUACUUUCAGCGGGGAGGAAGGGAGCAAAGUUAAUACCUUUGCUCAUUGACGUUACCCGCAGAAGAAGCACCGGCUAACUCCGUGCCAGCAGCCGCGGUAAUACGGAGGGUGCAAGCGUUAAUCGGAAUUACUGGGCGUAAAGCGCACGCAGGCGGUUUGUUAAGUCAGAUGUGAAAUCCCCGGGCUCAACCUGGGAACUGCAUCUGAUACUGGCAAGCUUGAGUCUCGUAGAGGGGGGUAGAAUUCCAGGUGUAGCGGUGAAAUGCGUAGAGAUCUGGAGGAAUACCGGUGGCGAAGGCGGCCCCCUGGACGAAGACUGACGCUCAGGUGCGAAAGCGUGGGGAGCAAACAGG